AGCAGCCGUGCGCGGGGAAACGAGUGACUUUUGAACAGGUCUGGUGAGAAGCGUCUGUUCUCCACCGCGCCGACGUGAGUAGCGAAAGAGAACAAGCAUCAUUUCAUAUCGGCUUUUCUCGCAUCGCACCCCAUUUGGGGUUCAGGGGUAAUCGGGGGCCAUCUGGUUACAGACCAAGGACACUUUGGCUUUCACCAAACCAGCUCAUCCAUCCAGACUCCGCCACUGUUGUGACUCUCGCAGACAGAGGAACACACUGUUGAGAGGCUGUUUCCUCCUGACCGGUUUCCCUGCAACAUUUCCCUUCAGCCAGCAGUGCACUGGCCGUUUGGCACAAUGAACCGCCAUGAAUAAUUCAGCAAGGAGAGGUGCGAUAGAAAGCGAGGAGACAGAGGAGAGGAGGUGGAAACCAGACGAGAGGAGAGGAGGUUGCCCAAAACGAGAGGCAGGGAGCAUGACAGCGUGUAUUAGGGAAAACCUGGAUCCUGCUCUACCUUGAAAUCAAGAGCCAAGCGAGCCCUGCCUGGGUCGGCCAAUCACGUGUUGACACCCGCACAGGUAGAGAGGCAGCCGUGAUGAUGACGGAACCAAUGUUAUUCGAAGCUCUACCAAGAAAACGGGACCAGGACAACCGCUCACCCCUCCUCCUAUCACUAUCAACCAUUGGAAACAUGUCUCCCUCUUCCUGCAGUCCCAAACCUUUCUCCCUUAAUAUUCAACUAUCCAGCGUGAAUGACAGAAAUGCACACGUACGUAAAAACAAUGACGCUUGACAGGCAAACACGCUGCUGCUACACUGUGCUGGGCCUCGUUGUGGCUCGGACAUGAAUGACUGCAGCGUCAAUCCAGACCUUAAUCUUCUUAAUUUUAGAUGCUGCUGAUGAGACGGGGACUGUAUGAUUAAUCAUCUACUAUACAGUUUUCCCAGAGGGGUAUUAACCUGCUUUGGCAAAGUAAGCUACUACAGGCUCAUUGGGUAAAAGGUCUGAAAUUCUUAUUUGAUACCAGUUAAACUACCUCUGUAUGUUCAAAUGGGUUUUUUUCAAAAUGUUGAACCUGGUUCUAAAAUGUCCAUUAAUCACCUGCAGCCAAAACAUAACCAAUUUUCCUUGAGUCUGAUUUGCCAAAUUGAUGGAUUUUGUCAUGACUAACAAACCUUCGCUUGAUCAUCUCCAAACAAAACCAUAGAAUUAUUUGGCUAUGCAUUUUUAUUUAUUUAAUUAUCUUUUUAUCCAAAGAUAAACUGGGUCUACUGUGUC